UCUACGGGGGGCUGCAGUGGGGAAUAUUGGACAAUGGGCGAAAGCCUGAUCCAGCCAUGCCGCGUGUGUGAAGAAGGCCUUCGGGUUGUAAAGCACUUUCAGUGGGGAAGAAAGCCUUGGGGCUAAUACCCUCGAGGAAGGACAUCACCCACAGAAGAAGCACCGGCUAACUCCGUGCCAGCAGCCGCGGUAAUACGGAGGGUGCGAGCGUUAAUCGGAAUUACUGGGCGUAAAGCGCGCGUAGGCGGUCUGAUAAGCCGGUUGUGAAAGCCCCGGGCUCAACCUGGGAACGGCAUCCGGAACUGUCAGGCUAGAGUGCAGGAGAGGAAGGUAGAAUUCCCGGUGUAGCGGUGAAAUGCGUAGAGAUCGGGAGGAAUACCAGUGGCGAAGGCGGCCUUCUGGACUGACACUGACGCUGAGGUGCGAAAGCGUGGGUAGCAAACAGGAUUAGAUACCCGUGUAGUC
rnacentral:rRNA from 1 species